UACGUAGGGGGCGAGCGUUGUCCGGAUUUAUUGGGCGUAAAGAGCUCGUAGGCGGUUCGAUAAGUCGGAUGUGAAAUCUCCACGCUCAACGUGGAGGGGCCAUUCGAUACUGUCGUGACUCGAGUCCGGUAGGGGAGUGUGGAAUUCCCGGUGUAGCGGUGAAAUGCGCAGAGAUCGGGAGGAACACCCGUAGCGAAGGCGGCUCGCUGGGCCGUUCCUGACGCUGAGACGCGAAAGCUAGGGGAGCGAACAGG
rnacentral:rRNA from 1 species